UUUGAUGAUGACGGCUUGAUGUAAUUAUUUCUUGAAAGGUCUGUAUUCCCACGAUUAAAAUUAGUGUCAUGAUUCACGGCACAACAUGCUCCUCUACGAGGCUCCUGUAAUUGCUUCUCAACCUUAGCUGCAAGUUUACAUACAUCGUUGAAAGUCCAGUAGGGCUGUAGCUGUAUCACGUCACAGAUUUCAGUAUGUAACCCACCAAGAUAACCAGCUAUAGUUUGCUCUUCGAGCUCCUUAAUCUUAUACCGUAACAUCAGAUAUUCAAAUUUAGCAGUAUAGUUUUUAGUAGAUAAUUCAUUCUGCUUUAUAUUAUGAAACUUAAGGAAAGAAUCAUGCUUGUAGUUAUCUGGAAGAAAUUUCUUCUUCAGGGCUUUCGGUAUCUUCUCCCAUGUUAAAAUACGACUUUUCCCUUCAUGUGCCCACUGUUUCUUAAGAUGCUCCCACCAGAUCAAUGUGUGUCUCUUCAACUUUAUGGCUAGAAUUUUCACCAUGCGGUCUUCUGGCACAUCCUUGUACCCAAAGAUCAUUUUCAUUGCAUGCAACCAAUCAAUGAAUUCAUCUGGUAACAUUCUGUCUUCAAAUUCUGGAACAUCAACUUUGAUGUCGAAAUCUCGGUCAAACAUGAGAUUUCUUCGAGAACGAUUGGAUCCCGUCCUAUGAUCUCGAUAGAAAAGAUUAUCCUCUUCUUCAUCAUCACAUGAACGUUUCUCCUGAGAUUCCUGAUUUUGCGCUUCUUGUCUCACGGUUUGAAGAUAGGCCAAUUGUUGUUGAAGAUGUGCAAUGUUUCAUUCUCAAUAUCACGAUGAUCCCGUUCACGAUUUGGUCUUUCAACGUCAGGCCCACGUCAACCACGAUCUCGAUUAGCCAUAAUAACCUGGGGACUCUGAUACCAACUGAUGUUGGAAAAUCACAGCAACAAAACUAAUUCUGGGAAAAAAUAAUGACGGUUACGGGAUGUUAGCAAUCAUCACUCACAGACAGUUUCCUCAAGAUAUAGAGCAGGACUAAGGCUCACCACUUUAAGGAAAAGACCGGAGAUAUAGAUCACUCAAAGAAGAUAGUUAUUCUCAGA
rnacentral:sRNA from 1 species